rnacentral:rRNA from 1 species
GACGUAGGGGACGAGCGUUGUCCGGAUUCAUUGGGCGUAAAGCGCGCGUAGGCGGCCACGCAAGUCGGGUGUGAAAUCCCGGAGCUCAACUCCGGAACUGCACUCGAAACUGCGCGGCUUGAGGUAGGUAGGGGAGAUCGGAAUUCCUGGUGUAGCGGUGGAAUGCGCAGAUAUCAGGAGGAACACCGGUGGCGAAGGCGGAUCUCUGGGCAUUACCUGACGCUGAGGAGCGAAAGUGUGGGGAGCGAACAGG